AUGGAAGCGAUGAUUAUUUCCCCGGAUGAUCGACGCUGAACAAAAUGAGCAUUUUCGUUUCUCUUUUUCUUUAUUAAAAGAGAAUUUAAGCCAGGAAACUGAUCCAU
rnacentral:snoRNA from 1 species